GAUAAACGCUGGCGGCGUGCCUAAUGCAUGCAAGUCGAACGGUCUAGCCCUUCGGGACUAGGUAGUGGCAAACGGGUGAGUAACACGUGGGGAUUUGCCCAGUAGUGGGGAACAACUCCGAGAAAUCGGAGCUAAUACCGCAUACGGUCUGUGUUGAGGAACACGAGACUAAAGCCUUUCUUCGGAAAGGUGCUAUUGGAGGAACCUGCGGCUGAUUAGCUAGUUGGUGGGGUAAAGGCCUACCAAGGCAACGAUCUGUAGCCGGCCUGAGAGGGCGGUCGGCCACACUGACACUGACAUACGGGUCAGACUCCUACGGGAGGCAGCAGUCGGGAAUUUUGGGCAAUGGGCGAAAGCCUGACCCAGCAACGCCGCGUGAAGGAUGAAAUCCCUCGGGAUGUAAACUUCGCAAGAAUAGGAAGAAUAAGGAGGGUUAAUAACCCUUUUGAUGACGGUACUAUUUGUAAGCUCCGGCUAACU
rnacentral:rRNA from 1 species